rnacentral:misc_RNA from 1 species
CGAGAGACGGGCAUGCUUGUCUCUCAUGUCUGCUUCAGUGUGCUAGAAGCCCUCCAAAAACUAAAUGCGAUUGAUCUUCUCUCGCUAAGAACGCACGUGACGCAACGGUCUUCUUCGGAAGAGGCGACGCGGCUUACUUCUCACUGGACAUCUGAAGCCAGGCAAGACCAC